CCUACGGGAGGCAGCAGUGGGGAAUAUUGCACAAUGGGGGAAACCCUGAUGCAGCGACGCCGCGUGAGUGAAGAAGUAAUUCGUUAUGUUAAGCUCUAUCAGCAGGGAAGUAAAUGACGGUACCUGAGUAAGAAGCCCCGGCCAACGACGUGCCAGCAGCCGCGGGAAUAUGUAAGGGGCCAGGGUUAUCCGGAUUUACUGGGUGUAAAGGGAGCGUAUGCUGUGUGGUAAGUCAGCGGUGAAAUGCCCCCGCUCAACGGGGUGAAGUGCCAUUGAAACUGCGUUGCUGGAAGGCGGAUGCCGUGGGAGGAAUGUGUGGUGUAGCGGUGAAAUGCAUAGAGAUCACACAGAACACCGAUUGCGAAGGCAUCUCACGAAUCCGCGAUUGACGCUGAUGCACGAAAGCGUGGGUAUCAAACAGGAUUAGAUACCCUGGUAGUC
rnacentral:rRNA from 1 species